rnacentral:tRNA from 1 species
GGGCUGGGUGGUGCACGGGGGGCCGCCCGCGCUCGCGGCGCGGGAAUCGGCGGACCGCAUCGCGACGCUCCUGCUCGACCCCGGCCUGCGCC